rnacentral:rRNA from 1 species
UACGUAGGGUGCGAGCGUUAAUCGGAGUUACUGGGCGUAAAGCGUGCGCAGGCGGUUUUUUAAGUCUGACGUGAAAUCCCCGGGCUUAACCUGGGAAUUGCGUUGGAGACUGCAAGGCUGGAGUCUGGCAGAGGGGGGUAGAAUUCCACGUGUAGCAGUGAAAUGCGUAGAGAUGUGGAGGAACACCGAUGGCGAAGGCAGCCCCCUGGGUCAAGACUGACGCUCAUGCACGAAAGCGUGGGGAGCAAACAGG